rnacentral:tRNA from 1 species
AGUCCAGUGGUUAAGACUCUGCACUUCCAAUGCAGGAGGCCUGGUUCAAUCCCUGG